UACGGAGGAUGCGAGCGUUAUCCGGAUUUAUUGGGUUUAAAGGGUGCGUAGGCGGGCUUUUAAGUCAGCGGUAAAAAUUCGGGGCUCAACCCCGUCCGGCCGCUGAAACUGGGGGUCUUGAGUGGGCGAGAAGAAGGCGGAAUGCGUGGUGUAGCGGUGAAAUGCAUAGAUAUCACGCAGAACCCCGAUUGCGAAGGCAGCCUUCCGGCGCCCUACUGACGCUGAGGCGCGAAAGUGCGGGGAUCGAACAGG
rnacentral:rRNA from 1 species